AGCUCUGUCUGCAGUCCUUGUCUCCCCAAAGGCUGCUUUUGUUUCGCUGCCUCAGACCAAGGGGCUUCUGUGCUUGUUGUCACCCUCAGAAACAGCAAAUACUCUCCAAAACACCCUCCCAAGGAUUUGCUAAAUCUGGAGUGGGAACACAGAGAAAAGGGAGUCCACUCCUGCCAGUUUGGAGCCUACCAGGAUGCCUUUGGCAAAGGAGCAAGAGGUGCAGCCAGGAAAAGCUCCUGGCUCCCUGCAGGGCCAAGCUGAAACGUUUUCAAGGUCUUGUCAGCACCUGGAUUCAGUCAGGAUCCCUGGGCCUGAACAUCCCCUGCCUGCAGAAGCUCCAGCUCCUCCUCUGUGAGUCAAGGAACCAGCCCUGGAUGUCCUGACACAGAUGAGGCCCUGCCUUUCUGUGGAAGAGGUGGUGUCCUAUCAGCUGGCCUGGGGACAGCUGAACUAUCACAAUUUUCUUCUGAAGUUCACCUGGAAAAUGAUGGCAAUUGCUCUGUGUGGUUUCAGAUAGGUCUGACUCAGGAAAAUGCUCCUCAUGACACAUUUGUGCCUUUCUGAAUCAUCACCCAGAUAAGGGGCUGCUGGGAUUUAUUUGUAAUAAAUA